CCUACGGGAGGCAGCAGUGGGGAAUAUUGGACAAUGGGGGGAACCCUGAUCCAGCCAUGCCGCGUGUGUGAAGAAGGCCCUCGGGUUGUAAAGCACUUUCAGUGAGGAAGAACGCCUGGUGGUUAAUACCCAUCAGGAAAGACAUCACUCACAGAAGAAGCACCGGCUAACUCCGUGCCAGCAGCCGCGGUAAUACGGAGGGUGCGAGCGUUAAUCGGAAUUACUGGGCGUAAAGCGCGCGUAGGUGGCUUGAUAAGCCGGUUGUGAAAGCCCCGGGCUCAACCUGGGAACGGCAUCCGGAACUGUCCAGCUAGAGUGCAGGAGAGGAAGGUAGAAUUCCCGGUGUAGCGGUGAAAUGCGUAGAGAUCGGGAGGAAUACCAGUGGCGAAGGCGGCCUUCUGGACUGACACUGACACUGAGGUGCGAAAGCGUGGGUAGCAAACAGGAUUAGAUACCCUGGUAGUC
rnacentral:rRNA from 1 species